AACUGUAUUGUAGAUUUAUAAUCAUGGAUGGCAGAGAAUUUCCUACAGCUCAACCAGGACAAAACUGAGGUUUUAGUUAUAGGUCCUGAAGGCCAGAGAGAGAAACUUUUACCAAAACUAAAAGAUUUUAAACCAA